UGAAUAUUGGUCAAUGGGCGGGAGCCUGAACCAGCCAAGUCGCGUGAGGGACGACGGUCCUAUGGAUUGUAAACCUCUUUUGUCGGGGAACAAAGGCGCCCACGGGUGGGCGGAUGAGUGUACCCGAAGAAAAAGCACCGGCUAACUCCGUGCCAGCAGCCGCGGUAAUACGGAGGAUGCGAGCGUUAUCCGGAUUUAUUGGGUUUAAAGGGUUCGUAGGCGGACCGUCAAGUCAGCUGUAAAAAUGCGGUGCUCAACGCCGUACCGCCGUUGAAAAUGGCAGUCUUGAGUGGGCGAGAAGUAUGCGGAAUGCGUGGUGUAGCGGUGAAAUGCAUAGAUAUCACGCAGAACUCCGAUUGCGAAGGCAGCAUACCGGCGCCCUACUGACGCUGAGGCACGAAAGCGUGGGUAUCGAACA
rnacentral:rRNA from 1 species